UACGAGGGGAGCUAGCGUUGUUCGGAAUUACUGGGCGUAAAGGGCGCGUAGGCGGUUAUGUAAGUCAGGUGUGAAAUCCUUGGGCUCAACCUGAGAAUUGCAUUUGAUACUGCAUUGACUAGAGAUCGAGAGGGGAAAGUGGAAUUACGAGUGUAGAGGUGAAAUUCGUAGAUAUUCGUAAGAACACCAGUGGCGAAGGCGACUUUCUGGCUCGAUACUGACGCUAAAGCGCGAAAGCGUGGGGAGCAAACAGG
rnacentral:rRNA from 1 species